UCUCCGUUGGUGAACCAGCGGAGGGAUCAUUACAGGACUCGCAAGACUCCUACAACCCUGUGAACUUAACUAUAAGCACGUUGCUUCGGCGGGUGUCUCGGAGGGGGUUCUCCCUCCCCGAGACGCUAAACCCGCCGGCAGCCUACUAUACUCUGUCUCUUUGCGUUGGCAUCUCGAGUACAAUCAAACAAGUUGAAACUUUCAACAACGGAUCUCUUGGUCCUG
rnacentral:misc_RNA from 1 species